GCAAGUAAAAGUCGUAACAAGGUCUCCGUAGGUGAACCUGCGGAGGGAUCAUUACAGAGUUCAUGCCCUACCGGGUAGAUCUCCCACCCUAUGUUAUUAUUACUUUGUUGCUCUGGCGGGCCGUUAGGCUCCGGCCCGACUACCGGCCCCGGCUGGUAAGCGCCCGCCAGAGGACCCAAAACCCUGAAUAUUAGUGUCGUCUGAGUACUAUAUAAUAGUUAAAACUUUCAACAACGGAUCUCUUGGUUCUG
rnacentral:misc_RNA from 1 species